rnacentral:rRNA from 1 species
GCAUGCGAUCAUACCAGCACUAAAGCACCGGAUCCCAUCAGAACUCCGAAGUUAAGCGUGCUUGGGUGAGAGUAGUACUAGGAUGGGUGACCUCCUGGGAAGUCCUCGUGUUGCAUUCC